ensembl:snoRNA SNORD115 Small nucleolar RNA SNORD115
UUGUCAAUGAUGAGAACUCAUAUGGUCUCGAAGAGAGAUGAUGACCUAAAUAUCAUGCACAAUGGGAUUAUGCUGAGGCUC